rfam:Gossypium hirsutum cultivar TM-1 chromosome 22, whole genome shotgun sequence
CUCAUAGAGAGUUCGAUCCCGGCUCAGGAUGAAUGCUGGCAGCAUGCUUAACAUAUACAAGUCGGACAGGAAGUGGUGUUUUCAGUGGGGGACGGGUGAGUAACGCGUAAGAACCUACCCUUGGGAAGGGAACAACAGCUGGAAACGGCUACUAAUACCCAAUGGGCUAAGGAGUAAAAUGAGGAAUCCGCUCGAGGAGGGGCUCGCAUUUGAUUAGCUAGUUGGUGAGGCAAUAGCUUACUAAGGCGAUGGUCAGUAGCUGGUCCGAGAGGAUGAUCAGGCACACUAGGACUGAGACAUGGCUUAGACUCCUAUGGGAGACAGUAGUGGGGAAUUUUCUGCAAUGGGUGAAAGCCUGACGGAGUAAUAUCGCAUGGAGGUAGAAGGCCCACGGGUCAUGAACUUCUUUUUCCAGAGAAGAAGCAAUGACGAUAUCUGGGGAAUAAGUAUCGGCUAACUCUUUGCCAGUAGCCGUGGUAAUACGGAGGAUGCAAGCGUUAUUCGGAAUGAUUGGGCGUAAAGUGUCUGUAGGUGGCUUUUUAAGUCCAUCGUCAAAUCCCAAGGCUCAACCCUGGACAGGCGGUAGAAGCUACCAAGAUGGAGUACGGUAGGGGUAGAGGGAAUUUUUGGUGGUGCAAUGAAAGGCGUAGAGAUCGGAAAGAACACCAACUGUAAAAGCACUCUGCUGGGCCGACACUGACACUGAGAGACGAAAGCUAGAGGAGCGAAUGUGAUUAGAUACCCCAGUUUUCCUAGCCGUUGAUACGAGCCAAGGAUGUGACACUCAAAGGGUUGUCUUUCCUAGUGGUCCAAUCACUCGAAGCAAGGCACGACAAUUAAAAUCAAAGAUGAAUGCUUUU